rnacentral:rRNA from 1 species
UACGUAGGUGGCGAGCGUUGUCCGGAUUUACUGGGCGUAAAGGGAGCGUAGGCGGACUUUUAAGAGAGAUGUGAAAUACUCGGGCUCAACUUGAGUGCUGCAUUUCAAACUGGAAGUCUAGAGUGCAGGAGAGGAGAAUGGAAUUCCUAGUGUAGCGGUGAAAUGCGUAGAGGUUAGGAAGAACACCAGUGGCGAAGGCGAUUCUCUGGACUGUAACUGACGCUGAGGCUCGAAAGCGUGGGGAGCAAACAGG